UUUUUCUCGUUAUGUUUUUACUUGAUUUCGGAUUGGUUCUUGCAUUGAGACACCUUGAUUGAGCCUUGUUUUGUAUCUUGUAUGUUACACAUAUAUCGUGUGGGUAUUAGAUAUUGAUUCGAUUCAUUUUCGGGUAUUUAUUGAAGUUGUUUUCCCAUGUUUUCCAAAACUGCCAUGUGUUAGUAAAACGUUGAUAUCUCACAAUUGAACGGUCGGAUCGGGCUCAUCUUUGGAUAUAUUGUUCCUAAGAGGAUUUACUAAAAUCUGGUCGGUUGGAUUGUUAUUUGGAGGUUUCUAACUCUAAAACUACCUUUUAAACCGUGGGCUUUAAUUGCAGCCCAAGUAAAGCCCACAGGAGUCUAUAAAUAGACCCCUUAAGUUGCAAACCCUAGCCCCCAUUAAUCUCCAAACCCUAAAAACGAAUUUCUUCACUUAAAGAACUUGAUUUCUUCUUUCUAACAAGUCCGGAUGUGAUUCAUUCCGCUAAGAAUAUGAUUUUACAUCCUACUCGCAAGAUCUACGCGAUUUCUACGUUGUGUUCUUCGUUGGAGGCUUGUGGAUUAAAUUAAAUUCGGUCCAGCCCCUUGAACCUUGGGUUAAUACAUUAUUUAUCUUAUUGUUCAUCAUCCUUAGACACGUCGACUGCUCGUGCUUCGGAGUCGAAACAGGUUUAGUUGCUUGCCAGGUUUUUCACGUGGAUUUGCAAGCAGUUUAUGAUUUGAAAGCUGGU